UUCAGAACUGGGAAUACGAGCAAAGCCAGGAAUAUCGGUACCGUCUUGUACAAAUCCCAAGCUGGUCCCAAGUUGUCGUACGAUUUAUCGUAAUUCGCCGUUCCAUUCAGCUCGUAUUUAGGACAGAGCACUUGAAAAGGUGUCGGGCAAGACAGGAAUGCCCGCAAUUAUGUCUGGAAAAGAAAAAGGAGAAAAUUAAAAUCAGACAUCUUUGAUUUGUGCGAAGAUAGAUACAUUUAUCCAUCUGUCUUACCGUAGAGAAAAUUCACGGAGUUGUAGAAAAAAUUGGACAUCAGAAUCCAGUAGGCUAUAUUAGCACCCAUGAGGACGCUGAUACUGAAGAUCUUUGCCAUGUGCUCGGCCCAGGAGCCCAGAAAAGCUCGACUGAGCUCCAUCACCUCGAUCCUCUCGCCGCCUCCUGAAAGGAAUUGAAAAAAUAUGUUUUACCGCCGAAGACCUCCUCAUACAAGUGGUUGUAACAGUUCGAUAUUGACGUGACGUCAUCGGCGUCCUACAAUGCAACCCCCCGCGCUGCACAUGUGCAGACCGAAGAUUACAAAAUUUUUCGCUCGAUGCUCCACUUCAUCUCUAAUCGAGCGAGAGCGGCUAAUAGCCGUAUUUUCGUGAAUCAGAGUUCGGUCUCUCGCUGUUUAUCUAAGUGGGUUAAAACUAGCAGUGCAUCAUGUAGGACGACGCCUUAGAUGUAACGCGUGAUUUUACAAUAAUGCUAACCAUGGUACUUGUGGACCUGCAGCAGCUUGUAGGCGGUGAAGAGGCACAGACCACUCAUGGCGAGUAUCAGGAUGAUCGCCGGGACGAAACCGGCCAUGUAGAUGCCCCAGGGCAUCGUCAGCAUCGAUGAGCCCAGGAUUGUGUUCCAGACGGAAAAUCUGGAAUUCCAAACAGAGAAAUGGCUCAACAUUGCGCGAUAGAAGAAGCUUCUUACUGUCGUACACGCACAUCGGUAAUUACACAAUAGAGUGUAUAUCACAACUGUAUUAUAUAUGUAUCUCGUAGACGCUCAUGUUUGCGCGACGCGAAACCCAGCUUAUUAAAAAUAAAUUCUCGGAUCAACUGUCGCCGAGAAGAAACGUAA